rnacentral:rRNA from 1 species
GUCUACAGCCAUGCCACCCUGAAUGUGCCCGAUCUCGUCUGAUCUCGGAAGCUAAGCAGGAUCAGGCCUGGUUAGUACUUGGAUGGGAGAUCACCCAGGAAUACCAGGUGCUGUAGGCA